AGAACGAACGCUGGCGGCAGACUUAACACAUGCAAGUCGAGCGCCUCGCAAGAGGAGCGGCAGACGGGUGAGUAACGCGUGGGAACGUGCCCAAAGGUACGGAACAACUCCGGGAAACUGGAGCUGAUACCGUAUGUGCCCGAAAGGGGAAAGAUUUAUCGCCUUUGGAUCGGCCCGCGUCUGAUUAGCUAGUUGGUAGGGUAACGGCCUACCAAGGCGACGAUCAGUAGCUGGUCUGAGAGGACGACCAGCCACACUGGGACUGAGACACGGCCCAGACUCCUACGGGAGGCAGCAGUGGGGAAUAUUGGACAAUGGGCGCAAGCCUGAUCCAGCCAUGCCGCGUGAGUGAUGAAGGCCUUAGGGUUGUAAAGCUCUUUCGCCAGGGACGAUAAUGACGGUACCUGGAUAAGAAGCCCGGCUAACUUCGUGCCAGCAGCCGC
rnacentral:rRNA from 1 species